GUGUCCUUAGCUCAGAGGAUAGAGCGUUCGGCUCCGGACCGAAAGGUCGCAGGUUCGACUCCUGUAGGACACG
rnacentral:tRNA from 1 species